rnacentral:rRNA from 1 species
CCUACGGGAGGCAGCAGUGAGGAAUAUUGGUCAAUGGACGAGAGUCUGAACCAGCCAAGUAGCGUGAAGGAUGACUGCCCUACGGGUUGUAAACUUCUUUUAUAUGGGAAUAAAAUGUUCCACGUGUGGGAUUUUGUAUGUACCCGAUGAAUAAGGAUCGGCUAACUCCGUGCCAGCAGCCGCGGUAAUACGGAGGAUCCGAGCGUUAUCCGGAUUUAUUGGGUUUAAAGGGGGCGUAGGGGGAAGGUUAAGUCAGGUGUGAAAGUUUGCGGCUCAACCGUAAAAGUGCAGUUGAAACUGGCAGUCUUGAGUACAGUAGAGGUGGGCGGAAUGCGUGGUGUAGCGGUGAAAGGCUUAGAUAUCACGAAGAACUCCGAUUGCGAAGGCAGUUCACUGGACUGCAACUGACACUGAUGCUCGAAAGUGUGGGUAUCAAACAGGAUUAGAUACCCGAGUAGUC